CCAAGUCUUCUCUCUAUUAAUAAAUUAUUCAGGACCUUCAAACUAACUACUGUACAGCAACUGAACCAAAAUCUGAUAUUAGUUAUAAUCAGUUGGGUACAAUAUACAGUGUUGGAUACUUUGAUCUUAAAAAUAUUUAUUACACAAUCACUUAUCAACAACACUAAAGAAAAAUAAUGAAGCUGAUGUUAUUACUAAUCUUGAUGAUAUAUACAAUAUUGGUACGUUUGUACAGAUCACUGAGUUUCAAGAGUUCAAUAAUAGAAUGAGAUUAAUAAUACAAGGACACAGACUAAAAUUUGAGC